rnacentral:lncRNA from 1 species
GGACCCAGCGCAAGGGCCAGAGCGCCCGGACGAGCUGGCGGGCUCUGGGAGGCUCCGACAAGCUCACAGUCCGAAAGUUUCUCUGUCUUUCUGCUGCUCCUGGGAGUGUGACUUGAGCGACGCGGGAUCCGCCGGCUCUAGGAGCCCUCCAGAAAAAGAGAAAGGGGCACUGCACAAAAUACACCGAAAAAUCAAAAUCUGCAGCCAUUUGCAGCUAUCCCCAAGGCGGAGGAGGACAGACACUGCCUGCUCUUCUGGGUAAAUGCCCCAAAGAUGGUAUGGAUUGAGCUAAGUAGGUAAUAAAAGUCAAGAGUUGGGGCUCAGAGGAAGAACAUUUUUGCCUGGGGCUACAUCCCUAGCUGUAUAGAGAGGUACAGAUAUCCAGGCUAAGCUUAGGAGGUCUGUUAGAGCCUGAGUGGAAAGAGCAAAUGUGAGGGAGGGAAAGUGUAAGUGAAUGAGUGAUGGAACUUUGUCUCUAACUGCCACUCAUAGCAGAGCAUGCUCAGAACUAUGGACUCCAGCCCUGUACUGACUGCCAAAACAUAGUUCAAGUCUCUGCCUUUGGUAGCUCCAAGCCCGUUGCUCAUGCUGCUGAAUAUGAGAGCCACUCUGCUGUUUUCCUUACUCUCUGCUCUAUGGAUGUUACCCAUCUACUAGUAGCAGCAUUUGAAGUUUCCAGACUUUUCCACUUGAGGAUCCUGAGGCCAGUGCUGUCAUGACUCUUAGUGAUCGUGUGACCAUCUCUCUCAGGGUUUGCAGGAAUGGAACCACUGGGUCAUAUGUUCAGCUUAAGUGGACAUUCUGGCUGCAUGUCAAAGGGUGGCCUAGCACAUGCGCAAUAUUGUCAACAGUGGAUGAGUUUCACACCCUCUCAUCCUCGUCUGCUGUGGGUAUUAUCAGGCUUGUUCAUUUUACCUUUCCAGUGGUUAUCUAGAGGUCAUCGCUUAUAACCUUAGCUUGUAUUUUCCAGAUAAUUGAUCAUAACGAACAUUUUUCCUAACCAUCUGUAUAUCCUGUUUUAAACAUAUCACUUAUAUAAAUUGUUCUCAUGUUAAACUCAGCCUUUGUGUUAAAUGGGAAUUUAUGAGUUCUGUUUGUGUGGGGGUUCUGCAAAGUCCUUUACCAGUCAUGUGUAUUGUAAAUGUCUUUGUACUCUCAAUGGAGCUCCUUGACAAAGAAAAAUUCUUACUUACCAAAAUUUCUCCUUAACUGUUUAUACAUUUUAUCCCCUGCCUGAAAAGUUUUUGCAAAAAUCAAGAGAAUAACCUCUGUCUUUUCUAGAAGUUUUAGUGUUUUACAUGCUGUAUUUGUGUCUGUAAUCUACCUGGGAUUCUAUAUAUAUACACACACAUAUAUAUAUAUAAAAUUUAUAUGCAAUAUACACUACAUAUAAUAUGGUAUAAUAAUAUGUAUUAUAUAACAUAGUAUAAUAUAGAAUGCAUACACAUAUAUUUUAUAUAUAUGUAUUAUAUAUGUAUAUACAUGUUGUGUAAUGUUAAAUAGGAGACAUUAAUUUCUUGGACAGAGGAUAUAGUUGGUAAUGUGUUUAACUAGCAUGCACAAAGGCUUGGCUUUGAUAUCCUGCACCACCACCAGAUUGUUGGAAUGGAGCCUGGGGAAUAGAAGCAAGAGGGUCAGAAAUUCAAGGUCACACUGGGCUACCAAGUAACUUUGGGACUAACUGGGCCUAAAUGAGACCUUGAGUUUUUCUUUGUUUUGUUUUUGAUGCAUUUCAUAAUCACCUGAAAUCCCAAUACUAGGAAUGGAGAGGCAGGAAAUAAUCAGGGGUUCAAGUCAGGAAAUCAGGGGUUCAGGGUCAUCUUAACUGCAGAGCAAGCUUGAGGCCAGCCUCUGCUACAUGAGACUCUGUCUCACAAACACCCAAACCAAUAACAAUACGAACCAUAUAGAUAGAUGACAGAUAGAGAGGGCAUAUUUCUAGGGGCUGGAGAGAUGGCUCAGUGGUUAAGAGCACUGACUGUUCUUCCAAAGGUCCUGAGUUCAAUUCCUAGCGACCACAUGGUGGCUCACAACCAUCUGUAGUGGGAUCUGAUGUCCUCUUCUGGUGUCUCUGAAGAUAGCUACAGUGUACUCACAUACAUGGAAUAAAUAAAUAAAUC